rnacentral:lncRNA from 1 species
GCUGAGGAGAUCCUGAACCAGGAUGGGGUCGAGAAUCAGCCGUCCUGUGGAGAUCCAGGUUACCAACAACACCGAGACCAUCAUCCUGAGAAACCCCAAGUGAGGAUGGGGGGACACCAGAGGGACCCUUGGGGUGCUAGGGGGCAGCUCUGGGUGGGAUUUUCAUGGUGGAAUGGGAUCAUCUCCAGGUUCUGGGAUCAUCUCCAGGUUCUGGGAUCAUCUCCAGGGUUGGGAUCAUCUCCAUGGUUGGGAUCAUCUCCAGGGUUGGGAUCAUAUCCAUGGUUCUGAUCAUCUCCAGGCUCUGGGAUCAUCUCCAUCGUUGGGAUCAUCUCCAGGGCUUGGGAUCAGCUCCAUGGUUGGGAUCAUCUCCAGGCCUUGGGAUCAUCUCCAGGGUUGGGAUCAUCUCCAGGCUCUGGGAUCAUCUCCAUUGUUGGGAUCAUCUCCAAGGGUUGGGAUCAGCUCCAUGGUUGGGAUCAUCUCCAGGGUCUGGGAUCAUCUCCAUGGUUGGGACCAUCUCCAUGGUUGGGAUCAUCUCCAUGGUUGGGAUCAUCUCCAGGCUCUGGGAUCAUCUCCAGGUUUGGGAUCAUCUCCAUGGUUGGGAUCAUCUCCAGGCUCUGGGAUCAUCUCCAGGGUUGGGAUCAUCUCCAUGGUUGGGAUCAUCUCCAGGGUUGGGAUCAUCUCCAGGGUUUGGGAUCAUCUCCAGGGCUGGGAUCAUCUCCAGGAUCUGGGAUCAUGUCCAGGGUUGGGAUCAUCUCCAGGGUUGGGAUCAUCUCCAGGGUUUGGGAUCAUCUCCAUGGUUGGGAUCAUCUCCAGUGUCUGGGAUCAUCUCCAGGGUUGGGAUCAUCUCCAGGCUCUGGGAUCAUCUCCAUGGUUGGGAUCAUCUCCAUGGUUGGGAUCAUCUCCAGGAGUUGGGAUCAUCUCCAGGGCUUGGGAUCAUCUCCAGGCUCUGGGAUCAUCUCCAGGCUCUGGGAUCAUCUCCAUGGUUUGGGAUCAUCUCCAUGGUUGGGAUCAUCUCCAGGGGUUGGGAUCAUCUCCAUGGUCUGGGAUCAUCUCCAGGGUCUGGGAUCAUCUCCAUGGUCUGGGAUCAUCUCCAGUGUUGGGAUCAUCUCCACGGUUGGGAUCAUCUCCAUGGUCUGGGAUCAUCUCCAGGGUUGGGAUCAUCUCCAGGCUCUGGGAUCAUCUCCAGGGUUUGGGAUCAUCUCCAGGGUUGGGAUCAUCUCCAGGGUUGGGAUCAUCUCCAGGGUCUGGGAUCAUCUCCAUGGUUGGGAUCAUCUCCAUGGUUGGGAUCAUCUCCAGGCUCUGGGAUCAUCUCCAGGGUUGGGAUCAUCUCCAUGGUUGGGAUCAUCUCCAGGGUCUGGGAUCAUCUCCAGGCUCUGGGAUCAUCUCCAGGGUUUGGGAUCAUCUCCAGGGUUUGGGAUCAUCUCCAUGGUUGGGAUCAUCUCCAGGCUCUGGGAUCAUCUCCAGGCUCUGGGAUCAUCUCCAUGGUUGGGAUCAUCUCCAGACUUGGGAUCAUCUCCAGGGUCUGGGAUCAUCUCCAGGCUCUGGGAUCAUCUCCAGGGCUUGGGAUCAUCUCCAGGCUCUGGGAUCAUCUCCAUGGUUUGGGAUCAUCUCCAGGCUCUGGGAUCAUCUCCAGGGGUUGGGACCAUCUCCAUGGGUUGGGAUCAUCUCCAGGGCUUGGGAUCAUGUCCAGGGUUGGGAUCAUCUCCAGACUCUGGGAUCAUCUCCAGGUUUGGGAUCAUCUCCAGGUUUGGGAUCAUCUCCAGGCUCUGGGAUCAUCUCCAUGAUUGGGAUCAUCUCCAGGGUUGGGAUCAUCUCCAGGCUCUGGGAUCAUCUCCAUGGUUGGGAUCACCUCCAUGAUCUGGGAUCAUAUCCAUGGUUCUGAUCAUCUGCAUGGCUGGGAUCAUCUCCAUGUUUGGGAUCAUCUCCAGGCUCUGGGAUCAUCUCCAGGCUCUGGGAUCAUCUCCAUGGUCUGGGAUCAUCUCCAUGGUUGGGAUCAUCUCCAUGGUCUGGGAUCAUCUCCAGGGCUGGGAUCCUCAUGGUGGACUGGGAUGUUCUCCAGAGCUUGGGAUCACCUCCAGGGUUGGGAUCAUCUCCAGGCUCUGGGACCAUCUCCACGUCC